AGAAAUAACAUCAUGAAAUCCGUUUUUUAUGUAUUUUCAAGGCUCAAAAUUCAACAAAACAAUAUAAUAUUCUUUAGACAUUACAAAUAAAUAAAAAAAUAUGCAUAAAUAAAUAAAUAAAUAGGAAAAAUAAACAGUAAAAUAAUGCCUCGUAAAUUUAUUAGAACAAGAAUAAGGAUACAAUUAGCUUCAUUAAUGUAUUGAGUCAUUUAUUUAUAUAUAUAUUUUCGAUUUAUUUAGAGAGACAAGAUUCGUAUAAGAGAGAGAGAGAGAGAAAUUGACAUCGAUUUACAUAGAUUCACAUAGCUAAUCAGACCCCAUAGAUAGAUAGAGAGAGAGAGAGAGAGAGAGAGAGAGAGAGAGAAAUUGACAUAGAUUUACAUAGAUUCACAUAGCUAAUCAGACCCCAUAGAUAGAUAGAUAGAGAGAGAGAGAGAGAGAAAUUGACAUAGAUUUACAUAGGUUCACAUAGCUAAUCAGAUCCCAUUGAUACAUAGAUAGAUAGAUAGAAAGAGAGAGAGAAAAAAAUAUAAAAUAAUAUUAAAAAAACACUUGUAUAUAAAAAUGCCCCUAAUGUACUAGUUAUUGAAGGGGGGUUAUUGGUAGGGGAGAUAACCCCCACCCCCCCCUCCCCUCCCCUUAAUCGACCCUCACUCUAAGACCCCCAAUUGCAUUAAGGGAGUCAUCCAGUACUGGGAUUCGACGAGGAGGAGGAGGAGGAGGAGGGAAGGAGGGAGAGUGAGGAAGAUGGGGUCCCUUAGAGGUAAUUAUAGGAGGAGGAGGAGGGAAGGAAGAAGAGGAGGAGGAGGAGGAGGAGGGGAAGAAUGCAGGAGGAGGAAGGGACAGCGGGGUGCCUCCGGAAGAACCUGGAGGGAAUGGAGAGAAAGAUGGAGGAGGUGGAGAGAAGGUAGGGAAGGAGGGGAGGAAGGAGGGGGGGAGGGGGGCGACUACUGUAGGGGUGUCGUCUGCUGAUGGUGGUGAGGAUCUGCUUCUGUCCCUGCUGGUGCUUCUGCUGCCUCCGCCGAAUAGGCC